rnacentral:rRNA from 1 species
AACGAACGCUGGCGGCAUGCCUAACACAUGCAAGUCGAACGCGCGGUUUCGGCCGCGAGUGGCGCACGGGUGAGUAACGCGUGGGAACCUGCCCCGAGGUGGGGGAUAACCCGGCGAAAGCCGGGCUAAUACCGCAUACGUCCUAAGGGAGAAAGAUUUAUCGCCCUGGGAGGGGCCCGCGUCGGAUUAGGUAGUUGGUGGGGUAACGGCCUACCAAGCCGAUGAUCCGUAGCUGGUCUGAGAGGAUGGCCAGCCACACUGGGAUUGAGACACGGCCCAGACUCCUACGGGAGGCAGCAGUGGGAAUAUUGGACAAUGGGCGCAAGCCUGAUCCAGCAAUGCCGCGUGAGUGAUGAAGGCCCUAGGGUUGUAAAGCUCUUUCGCCCGCGACGAUGAUGACGGUAGCGGGAGAAGAAGCCCCGGCUAACUUCGUGCCAGCAGCCGCGGUAACAC